CAGUGAUGGAGUCUGUUACCUGUUUUAUAGGUAAGUGUGUAUAAUUAAUAAUUAGAAGUAGACUCCUAGAAAAUGAUUUGAAGAAUAUGACCAUUCAAUGUAAAGUCUAUCUGAUUGAGGCAAACUGAGGACAUCUACCACCUUGCUUCCUUUUUCUCUCAUCUAGCAGGCCACCCUCAGAAAUUUUUUCUUUUGUUGCUGAUCUUUGGACUCUGUAAUAUAACUUUGAUUUUUUUUUUCAGAAGACCCUCAUCUUUUCAUGAAGACUUGGAGUGGAAAAGUUUUAUGGAAACUGUACAACUAAUUCAGAUAGAAGUGUUCCAUUCGUAACCAGAGGGAAGGAAGGUGCGACAACUCCUUUCCAUCUCUUCUCCAACGGAUGGAUUAGUUCUGCAACGACUAGGCGGACUUCGAGCCCUCCUCUUCCCUCAACAACACCGGAAACAAAAAGCAACAAAAAGAGAGAAGGAGAAGCUCAUAUCUUUCACCAGAAAUAAAGGGUUGAGACAGUGAGACUAAUCCUGUUAAACUAGGAGUUCGAGAUGCUCGUUUUCCAAUUUGCUCAUUUCUGUCCCAAGUGUCUACUUCAUGCUCUUUUAAAUAAAGAUUAAGGGAAUGCAUUGGAGCAAGUUAGUGGAAUGUAAAUAAGUAUCUAUAUUUGAAUCAUCUCAUAUAUCUAGCUACAGUUGCAGAGAACCUCAAGUUGACCUCUGCAAGGCAUGCUUCUUUACACCACACUAGAGAAAAUUCUUUUCUAACAUAAACGUUCCAUUUUUUGUUUAUCUACUGGAUUUCUUUUUUUCAGCAAACAGCAUCACAUUUAGUUGCUGCUAUUUUAAUCUUGAAUUGCGGCAAACAACUACACUGCAAUAAAAAGCAUUUGUACCAUUCAUAGCAUGAAGCUAGAUAAACUUUAAGCAUUACUUUUACAAACAUUUACCACUAUCAACGGCCUGUCAAGAGAGUAGAUUCCAUUGUUGAUGCUGAGCAGGCAGACAUGGUUAACAGUGAACUAUCUGACAUGCCAAUAUCAUCAAAGCUUUCCUUCCCCAUAGCUGAAAUCUCGGCACUUUGUUGGAAUGAAUAUGAACUUUCUUAAGAGUUCCACUCCUAUGAAAACAGAGACUUGAGAAAUGGAUAAUUAAUUUCACUGCUAAAACGAUUACAAAUGUGAGUAUUUAUAGAAAUAUGUAGACAUGAAUAGGUGCAUCCCUUCAUGUAGAGUUGCAAUGCUUCAAUCAUAGGUGCAUCCCUUCAUGUAGAGUUGCAAUGCUUCAUGAACUGGUACACUACUUUCUGAACAAUCACGAUGCUUUAAUUUUCAAUCUCAUUAACUUUUAACACUCCCCCCAUAAUGAGAUUGCCGGAUAUAAUUCCGACCUUCUCUCUUAUCUGAAAAAAUCUGUCCCGAGGUAGUGCUUUUGUAAAGAUAUCUGCAAGUUGUUCUGCUGACUUGCAGUACUUUAGCUUCACUUCGCCUUUCUGUACAGCGUCACAAAUAAAAUGAUAUUUGAGUUUGAUAUGCUUGGUGCGCUCAUGAUGAACUGGAUUCUCAGUAAUGGCUAUUGCUGAUCGAUUAUCACAAUGAGGAAUAGUAGCUUCAAUUUGUGGUAACCCAAUGUUAGAAAGCAUUCUCCUCAUCCAUAUAGCUUGUGAUGCAGCUUUUGCUGCUGCUAUAUAUUCAGCUUCUGCAGAGGAUUGAGCAACAACACUUUGCUUCUUUGAAAGCCAUGAACAGGCUCCCGAACUUAGCAUGAACAAGUAUCCUGAUGUGCUUUUUGAAUCAUCAAUGCUUCCCCCCCCCCAAUCACUAUCUGUAAAACCAGAGAGAGAAGACUGCUCCUUGUUGUUGUAGAAAAUUCCAAACUCGAGGGUCCCUUUUAAGUAACGUAGAACUUGUUUAGCUGCUCCAAAAUGUAUAUUCCUUGGAUUCUGCAUAUAUCGAGAAAGUAAGCUAGUAA